rnacentral:rRNA from 1 species
UACGUAGGCAGCGAGCGUUGUUCGGAAUUACUGGGCGUAAAGAGUGUGUAGGCGGUGCUCCCAGUCUGUUGUGAAAUCUCCCGGCUUAACUGGGAGGGUGCAGCGGAAACUAGAGUGCUAGAGGGUGGGAGAGGUAAGCGGAAUUCCUGGUGUAGCGGUGAAAUGCGUAGAUAUCGUCUGGAACGCCAAAGGUGAAAACAGCUCGCUGGGGUUGUGCUGACGCUGAGACACGAAAGCCAGGGGAGCGAACGGG